GUGGAGAUAGAUACGCAAAUGUGAUAUUUCUAAUCACAUGUCGCCACGAAGUCUCCGUAAAGUAACAGCUUUCUGAUGACUGUAACUUGUCAAGUUCUAAUUUACAGACAGAUACGGAGCUUACAGUA